UUCCGACCUGAGCUCAGUUGUGAUUACCUGCUGAACUUAAGCAUAUCAGUAAGCAGAGGAAAAGAAA
rnacentral:rRNA from 1 species